UGAGAUUACCCAAAAAGGCUUUGAUAACAACGUAAAAAAGCUCCUGACAGCAGAAAAAUCAGAUGACACUACUUCAACACAUGGCAAUGAAUUUCUCAGUGCAGCAGAGGCCUUUGGUAAAGCCAAGAAACUACUACAGCCUCAAGUAAAGAAAAGGCAGUUUCCAUUGAAUGAUAAACGUUUGGACCAUGGCAAAUCAUUAUU